CGGUGUUUAACUGGCGUGAUGUGGGACGUCCUACCGGUGGGCUUAGCCUCGCGAGGGGCGGCCCAACUAAUAUCCCGUCGCGGUGCUCUUUACUGAGUGUCGAGUCGGGCCGGUACGUUUACUUUGAACAAAUUAGAGUGCUUAAAGCAGGCUAUCCUCGCCUGAAUACUGCGUGCAUGGAAUAAUGGAAUAGGACCUCGGUUCUAUUUUGUUGGUUUUCGGAACCCCGAGGUAAUGAUUAAUAGGGACAGAUGGGGGCAUUCGUAUUGCGACGUUAGAGGUGAAAUUCUUGGAUCGUCGCAAGACGGACAGAAGCGAAAGCAUUUGCCAAAAAUGUUUUCAUUAAUCAAGAACGAAAGUUAGAGGUUCGAAGGCGAUCAGAUACCGCCCUAGUUCUAACCAUAAACGAUGCCAGCUAGCGAUCCGCCGAAGUUCCUCCGAUGACUCGGCGGGCAGCUUCCGGGAAACCAAAGCUUUUGGGUUCCGGGGGAAGUAUGGUUGCAAAGCUGAAACUUAAAGGAAUUGACGGAAGGGCACCACCAGGAGUGGAGCCUGCGGCUUAAUUUGACUCAACACGGGAAACCUCACCAGGCCCAGACACCGGGAGGAUUGACAGAUUGAUAGCUCUUUCUUGAUUCGGUGGGUGGUGGUGCAUGGCCGUUCUUAGUUGGUGGAGCGAUUUGUCUGGUUAAUUCCGAUAACGAACGAGACUCUAGCCUGCUAAAUAGGCGUACCUUAUGGUAUCGCGAAGGCCCCCGGCUUCGGCCGGUGGGUUUUUACUACCAACGUACAAACAAAUCUUCUUAGAGGGACAGGCGG
rnacentral:rRNA from 1 species